rnacentral:rRNA from 1 species
GACGAACGCUGGCGGCGUGCCUAAUACAUGCAAGUCGAGCGGACGAAUCCAAAGCUUGCUUUUGAUUCGUUAGCGGCGGACGGGUGAGUAACACGUGGGCAACCUGCCCUGUAGACGGGGAUAACACCGAGAAAUCGGUGCUAAUACCGGAUAACACGAAAUGUCGCAUGACGUUUCGUUGAAAGACGGCGCAAGCUGUCGCUACAGGAUGGGCCCGCGGCGCAUUAGCUAGUUGGUGAGGUAACGGCUCACCAAGGCGACGAUGCGUAGCCGACCUGAGAGGGUGAUCGGCCACACUGGGACUGAGACACGGCCCAGACUCCUACGGGAGGCAGCAGUAGGGAAUCUUCCGCAAUGGACGAAAGUCUGACGGAGCAACGCCGCGUGAGCGAAGAAGGCCUUCGGGUCGUAAAGCUCUGUUGUUAGGGAAGAACAAGUAACGCAGUAACUGGCGUUACCGUGACGGUACCUAACGAGAAAGCCACGGCUAACUACGUG